rnacentral:rRNA from 1 species
GAUGAACGCUGGCGGCGUGCCUAAUACAUGCAAGUCGAGCGAACGGACGAGAAGCUUGCUUCUCUGAUGUUAGCGGCGGACGGGUGAGUAACACGUGGAUAACCUACCUAUAAGACUGGGAUAACUUCGGGAAACCGGAGCUAAUACCGGAGGAUAUUUUGAACCGCAUGGUUCAAAAGUGAAAGACGGUCUUGCUGUCACUUAUAGAUGGAUCCGCGCUGCAUUAGCUAGUUGGUAAGGUAACGGCUUACCAAGGCAACGAUGCAUAGCCGACCUGAGAGGGUGAUCGGCCACACUGGAACUGAGACACGGUCCAGACUCCUACGGGAGGCAGCAGUAGGGAAUCGUCCGCAAUGGGCGAAAGCCUGACGGAGCAACGCCGCGUGAGUGAUGAAGGUCUUCGGAUCGUAAAACUCUGUUAUUAGGGAAGAACAUAUGUGUAAGUAACUGUGCACAUCUUGACGGUACCUAAUCAGAAAGCCACGGCUAACUACGUG